ensembl:lncRNA
UGUACAUCUAAUUGUUAGUGUGUCUGUGUGUACAUCUAAAUGUUAGUGUGUCUGUGUGUACAUUUAAAUAUUAAUGUGUCUUUGUGCAGAACCAGAUGUUUGUGUUUUUGUGUACUUCUGAAUACUAAUGUGUCUGUGUGUACAUCUAAUUGUUAUUGUGUCUUUGUGUACAUCUAAAUAUUAGUGUGUGUCAUUGUUUAGAACCAAAUGAUAGUGUGUCUGUGUGUACAUCUAAUUGUUAGUGUGUCUGUGUGUAGAUCUAUCUGUUAGUGUGUCUGUGUGUACAUCUAAAUAUUAGUGUGUGUCAUUGUUUAGAACCAAAUGAUAGUGUGUCUGUGUGUACAUCUAAUUGUUAGUGUGUCUGUGUGUACAUCUAAUUGUUAGUGUGUCUUUGUUUAGAACCAAAUGUUAGUGUGUCUGUGUGUACAUCUAAUUGUUAGUGUGUCUGUGUGUAGAUCUAACUGUUAGUGUGUCUGUGUGUACAUCUAAUUGUUAUUGUGUCUUUGUGUACAUCUAAAUAUUAGUGUGUGUCAUUGUUUAGAACCAAAUGAUAGUGUGUCUGAGUUCAUCUGUGUGUGUGUGUGUGUCAUGAGUAGAUCUGGAUUUGCUCCUGAGGGGUUGACGCGGCGUCCUGAUGGCGUCCCGAUUCAGAUUUGUCCUGAGGGCGUCCCGAUGACGUGGCAUCCUGAUGGCGUCCCGAUGACGUGGUGUCCUGAUGGCGUCCCGAUGGCGUGGCGUCCUGAUGAAGUCCUGUUGGUCUGCAGACAAGAAGAAGAGACAUGAGGAGGAUAAUCAGGAUGUGUCUGUGUGUACAUCUAAUUGUUAUUGUGUCUUUGUGUACAUCUAAAUAUUAGUGUGUGUCUUUGUUUAGAACCAAAUGUUAGUGUGUCUGUGUGUACAUCUAAUUGUUAGUGUGUCUGUGUGUACAUCUAAAUAUUAAUGUGUCUUUGUGUACAUCUAAAUGUUAGUGUGUGUCUUUGUUUAGAACCAUAUGUUAGUGUGUCUGUGUGUACAUCUAAUUGUUAGUGUGUCUGUGUGUAGAUCUAAUUGUUAAAGUGUCUGUGUGUACAUCUAAAUAUUAAUGUGUCUUUGUGUACAUCUAAAUGUUAGUGUGUGUCUUUGUUUAGAACCUAAUGUUAACGUGUCUGUGAGUACAUCUGUGUGUGUGUGUGUCAUGAGUAGAUCUGGAAUUGCUCCUGAGGGGUUGACGCGGCGUCCUGAUGGCGUCCCGAUGACGUGGCGUCCCGAUGACGUGGUGUCCUGAUGGCGUCCCGAUGGCGUCCUGUUGGUCUGCAGACAAGGAGAAGAGACGUGAGGAGGAUCAUCAGGAUGUGUCUGUGUGUACAUAUAAUUGUUAGUGUGUCUGUGUGUAGAUCUAAUUGUUAGUGUGUCCGUGUGUACAUCUAAUUGUUAGUGAGUCUGUGUGUAGAUCUAAUUGUUAGUGUGUCUGUGUGUACAUCUAAUUGUUAGUGUGUCUGUGUGUGGAUCUAAUUGUUAGUGUGUCUGUGUGUACAUCUAAUUGUUAGUGUCUGUGUGUACAUCUAAAUGUUAGUGUGUCUGUGUGUACAUCUAAAUAUUAAUAUGUCUUUGUGUACAUCUAAAUAUUAGUGUGUGUCUUUGUGUACAUCUAAAUGUUAGUGUGUGCCUUUGUUUAGAACCAAAUGAUAGUGUAUCUGUGUGUACAUCUAAUUGUUAGUGUGUCUGUGUGUACAUCUAAAUAUUAAUGUGUCUUUGUGUACAUCUAAAUGUUAGUGUGUGUCUUUGUUUAGAACCAAAUGUUAGUGUGUCUGUGUGUACAUCUAAUUGUACAUCUAAAUUUGCCAGCGUGUCUAAAUGUUAGUGUGUCUCUGAGUACAUCUGUGUGUGUGUGCGUGUGUGUGGGGGUGUGUGUGUGUGUCAUGAGUAGAUCUGGAUUUGCUCCUGAGGGGUUGACGCGGCGUCCUGAUGGCGUCCUGAUGGAAUCCUUAUGGCGUCCCUAUGACGUGGCGUCCUGAUAGCGUCCUGAUGGUGUCCCGAUGACGUAGCGUCCCGAUGACGUGGCGUCCUGAUGGCGUCCUGUUGGUCUGCAGACAAGGAGAAGAGACAUCUGCAUUUGCUCCUGAGGGGUUGACGCGGCGUCCUGAUGGCGUCCCGAUGACGUGGUGUCCUGAUGGCGUCCCGAUGACGUGGCGUCCUGAUGGCGUCCUGUUGGUCUGCAGACAAGGAGAAGAGACAUGAGGAGGAUCAUCAGGAUGUGUCUGUGUGUACAUCUAAUUGUUAUUGUGUCUUUGUGUACAUCUAAAUAUUAGUGUGUGUCUUUGUGUACAUCUAAAUGUUAGUGUGUGUCAUUGUUUAGAAUCAAAUGAUAGUGUGUCUGUGUGUACAUCUAACUGUUAUUGUGUCUUUGUGUACAUCUAAAUAUUAGUGUGUGUCUUUGUUUAGAACCAAAUGAUAGUGUGUCUGUGUGUACAUCUAAUUGUUAGUGUGUCUGUGUGUACAUCUAAAUAUUAAUGUGUCUUUGUGUACAUCUAAAUGUUAGUGUGUGUCUUUGUUUAGAACCAAAUGUUAGUGUGUUUGUGUGUACAUCUAAAUUUGCCAGCGUGUCUAAAUGUUAGUGUGUCUCUGAGUACACCUGUGUGUGUGUCUGUGUGUGUCAUGAGUAGAUCUGGAUUUGCUCCUGAGGGGUUGACGCGGCGUCCUGAUGGCGUCCUGAUGGAAUCCUGAUGACGUCCCGAUGGCGUGGCGUCCUGAUGGCGUCCUGUUGGUCUGCAGACAAGGAGAAGAGACGUGAGGAUGGUCAUCAGGAUGUGUCCGUGUGUACAUCUAAUUGUUAGUGUGUCUGUGUGUAGAUCUAAUUGUUAGUGUGUCUGUGUGUACAUCUAAAUAUUAAUGUGUCUUUGUGUACAUCUAAAUGUUAGUGUGUGUCUUUGUUUAGAACCAAAUGUUAGUGUGUCUUUGUGUACAUCUAAAUAUUAGUGUGUGUCAUUGUUUGGAACCAAAUGAUAGUGUGUCUGUGUGUAGAUCUCAUUGUUAGUGUGUCUGUGUGUACAUCUAAUGGUUAUUGUGUCUUUGUGUACAUCUAAUUGUUAUUGUGUCUUUGUGUACAUUUAAAUAUUAAUGUGUCUUUGUGUACAUCUAAAUGUUAGUGUGUGUCUUUGUUUAGAACCAAAUGUUAGUGUGUCUGUGUGUACAUCUAAUUGUUAGUGUGUCUGUGUGUGGAUCUAAUUGUUAGUGUGUCUGUGUGUACAUCUAAUUGUUGUCUUUGAGUACAUCUAAAUAUUAGUGUGUGUCUGUGUUUAGAACCAAAUGUUAGUGUGUCUGUGUGUACAUCUAAUUGUUAGUGUGUCUGUGUGUACAUCUAAUUGUUAUUGUCUUUGUGUACAUCUAAAUAUUAGUGUGUGUCAUUGUUUAGAACCAAAUGAUAGUGUGUCUGUGUGUAGAUCUCAUUGUUAGUGUGUCUGUGUGUACAUCUAAUGGUUAUUGUGUCUUUGUGUACAUCUAAAUAUUAGUGUGUGUCAUUGUUUAGAACCAAAUGAUAGUGUGUCUGUGUGUACAUCUGUGUGUGUGUGUGUGUGUGUGUGUGUGUGUGUGUGUGUGUGGGGGGGGGGGGGUGUCAUGCGUAGAUCUGGAUUUGCUCCUGAGGGGUUGAUGUGACGUCCUGAUGGCGUCCCGUUGACGUGGCGUCCUGAUGGCGUCCCGUUGGUCUGCAGACAAGGAGAAGAGACGUGAGGAGGAUCAUCAGGAUGUGAGACAAGAUUCAUAGAUCCAAUUAUUUUAAUUUGAUGCACAUUUUAAUUAUUUCAUGUUUGUAUGGAUGUGUAAAUCUACAUUAUAUAUUUGUGGUUGUUAAACUGUAUUUCUGUAUUUGCUUUUUAUGUUUAGCUAGUCUCUGUGCAUACCAAUAUGUUAGUGCGUCUCUGUGUAAGUACUUUUUACAUUACAUUACAUUUCAUUUAGCUGACGCUUUUAUCCAAAGCGACUUACAAUAAGUGCAUUCAACCAUAGGGUACAAACUCAGAAGUGCAAUUUCCUCAAAUAACUUUUAUAUGUUAGUGCGUCUCUGUGUAAGUACUUUUAUAUGUUAAUGCGUCUCUGUGUACAUCUACAUGACAACAGCAGGAAUCAGAGGUUUAUCUCAAGGUAUUAGCUCUAAAUCACAGCCUUCUCCACCCGAUAGACCAAUACAUCAUUCACAGCAGUAAGGCUGCAGUCUGUCUGGAUUCCUCACUUACCUUGAGCUCUGUUGAGUGCAGCAGAACGCGUCUUCGUCCCCUCUACAGACUCCUGAGGCAUUACAUGGUUGCUUUCUGCAAGUGUAGGUCCGGAAAACUUCAGUGUGUAGAUGCGAGGUUUGAAACUGACUGACUGGAUGUGCAACAGACUGUGUUCUUAUGCUGUGGUGAACGGAGCACAGAACAUGGAACAUGGAACAUGGAGAAAUGUUCCAUCAUGAUGUAACGUCUCUAUGGUUACAGUGAAGGUAUCUACAAUAUGCAAAUGAGCCUUUAGAGUAAAUGUG